ACAAUGGUGAUGCAGUGGUAGAUACCUCUCCUUCCAUGCGAGAGACCUGGGUUCGAUUCCCAGCCAAUGUA
rnacentral:tRNA from 1 species